UUGAAUGACACAUUUUUAUACUUGAUGGAUUUAUUCAGUUUUAAAAUCAUAAUCAUGUGGACAACAGACUUUUUCCAAGCCAUUUUUUUAUACUGUAUUCAUAAUACAUUUAAUAUAAUUGCUGUGUUUGUAAAAGAAAAAAAAGACGUGUUUUCUUUUAGCUGGCCACUUUGCCAUUUGCAGUGUGCAGCUGUCCUUAGCUGCUCUUGGUGCCUUUAAUUUAGAAUUGUACACUGCUUUUUUGGAAGCACCUGCACUGGUAAAGGGAUAUACUGACAUUUUUUGGUGUCUGUCCUAUAAAUAGAGCAUGAAGAGUCUUCACAGUAUUGGACCAAAUCUUUCUGUUAAUUACUAACCAACUAGCUCUGUUAAUUUUUCUUUUCACUUGUUUACAAUGGACUAAACUAUUCAUAUCCAUGCAAUUUAGAACUCCAGUUUUAAUUAUAAUAAAAUUCAACAUUAUAGUAUUUUAGCUUGAUGAGAAGUUGUUUAUGAAAUAUGCAAAAUGUAGGUGGUUUUCGUCAACUGGGAAAUUGUGUUUUAAGGUUUCAUUUUGUUUUCACAUGAAAAGCAGGAGAAUAUGGCUUUCUCUCGUAGUUACAGAGGCAGGUCAGAUGCUAAUUGUGGUGUAUCUUAAACUUUUCCAACAGACCUCAGUUUGGAAGAAAGUGUAGGAGAGAGGAGGUCGCUUAGAGACUGCUGGACACGAGGUGAAUGCUGUGCGGCUCCGUCCACAGAGGCCUGAGCAACAUGGCUCCCUGACACCGACAUGGAUCAUCUCAAGCACUUUGAACUGAGCAACUGCUGCAGUCGGCGGAAAGACAAGCCUGGAUGGCGGACAGGUGACCGAGGAGGAGAGGCUUUUCCCGUCAUCACCCUCUCACCUGCUCCUUGAACGCCCCCCAACCCCUUCAUGGGGCCUCCUGUGGAUACAGUGUCUUUUGCCCAAGCCUCCCGACAAGCAGUAUAAACGCUGCCUCGCCUGUGAGACCAGCGAUUGCACUGCUGCCUGGAACUCUACUGGUUCAGUAUUACGUAAGCGGCUUGUGAGCAGAGACCAUACAGCAUCUUAGUAAAGGCACGUGGCAGUCCUACCGCCAUUUGCUGGCUGUGCUCGCUCUUCUGCA